rnacentral:rRNA from 1 species
AUUGAACGCUGGCGGCAUGCCUUACACAUGCAAGUCGAACGGCAGCGGGCCUUCGGGUGCCGGCGAGUGGCGAACGGGUGAGUAAUGCAUCGGAACGUGCCAUUGAGUGGGGGAUAACGUAGCGAAAGUUGCGCUAAUACCGCAUAUUCUGUGAGCAGGAAAGCAGGGGACCGCAAGGCCUUGCGCUCUUUGAGCGGCCGAUGUCAGAUUAGCUAGUUGGUGAGGUAAAGGCUUACCAAGGCGACGAUCUGUAGCGGGUCUGAGAGGAUGAUCCGCCACACUGGAACUGAGACACGGUCCAGACUCCUACGGGAGGCAGCAGUGGGGAAUUUUUGGGACAAUGGGGGCAACCCUGAUCCAGCCAUGCCGCGUGAGUGAAGAAGGCCUU